UGACCGUAUUCUACCAAGAAAUGCACAAAAUAUUCAAAAAGAAGGCAUAGAAAAUUUAAAUAUUGGACAAGAACUAUAGAAGAUACAGAGAAAUAAUAUACAGCAGAAAUGAUAGGCAAUGUAAAAUUUGCAGAAGCCAACUAAACCUAAAUGGUGAUCAGACAUCUUGGUUUUCAUGAUCAAUAGGUCAUUACUGAAGAGGAAACUUAAAGUUGAAAUUUAUUUACAUAGUGCAUAAUUGGAUUAAUUUGAAAUGGAAUGUGUGCUUUCCUGCAAAAAAGAAAUAGGAAAUUUCAACAUUAUCACAUGAUAAUGACCAUAUAAAACAAAAUGGAGUUCUAUCAUAGAUACAC